rnacentral:rRNA from 1 species
AUUGAACGCUGGCGGCAGGCCUAACACAUGCAAGUCGAGCGGAUGAAGGGAGCUUGCUCCUGUAUUCAGCGGCGGACGGGUGAGUAAUGCCUAGGAAUCUGCCUUGUAGUGGGGGAUAACGUCCGGAAACGGGCGCUAAUACCGCAUACGUCCUGAGGGAGAACGUGGGGGAUCUUCGGACCUCACGCUCUCAGCUGAGCCUAGGUCGGAUUAGCUAGUUGGUGGGGUAAAGGCCUACCAAGGCGACGAUCCGUAACUGGUCUGAGAGGAUGAUCAGUCACACUGGAACUGAGACACGGUCCAGACUCCUACGGGAGGCAGCAGUGGGGAAUAUUGGACAAUGGGCGAAAGCCUGAUCCAGCCAUGCCGCGUGUGUGAAGAAGGUCUUCGGAUUGUAAAGCACUUUAAGUUGGGAGGAAGGGCAGUAAGUUAAUACCUUGAUGUUUUGACGUUACCAACAGAAUAAGCACCGGCUAACUUCGUG